rnacentral:rRNA from 1 species
GAUGAACGCUGGCGGCGUGCCUAAUACAUGCAAGUCGAGCGAACAGACGAGGAGCUUGCUCCUCUGACGUUAGCGGCGGACGGGUGAGUAACACGUGGAUAACCUACCUAUAAGACUGGGAUAACUUCGGGAAACCGGAGCUAAUACCGGAUAAUAUAUUGAACCGCAUGGUUCAAUAGUGAAAGACGGUUUUGCUGUCACUUAUAGAUGGAUCCGCGCCGCAUUAGCUAGUUGGUAAGGUAACGGCUUACCACGGCAACGAUGCGUAGCCGACCUGAGAGGGUGAUCGGCCACACUGGAACUGAGACACGGUCCAGACUCCUACGGGAGGCAGCAGUAGGGAAUCGUCCGCAAUGGGCGAAAGCUUGACGGAGCAACGCCGCGUGAGUGAUGAAGGUCUUCGGAUCGUAAAACUCUGUUAUUAGGGAAGAACAAAUGUGUAAGUAACGAUGCACGUCUUGACGGUACCUAAUCAGAAAGCCACGGCUAACUACGUG